rnacentral:rRNA from 1 species
AUGUCGCAAUCAUUUAUCCUUUCGCCGUUUGUCACUCCAACAAACGAUGACUUAAUAGAUGAACUUUGCUUGUUCAUCAGCAUGGUUGAUGAUAUCCCGUUGCUAGAGAGCGAAUGGGUGAAAAGCUCUCAACCUUAUCCUAUUAGUUUAAACCCGACACAAUUAAAAAACAUAUUAAAAAAUUAUGAGUACAUGGAUGCCGAUUGUUUUAACAUGGCUGUGAGGAUACUAGCAUGCCACGACGUUCCAUGUCCCACUAUGCACGAAUCCCAAGUCAUCAUGACGGUAUGGACAUUGCUAUGUUGGCACAACUGUUUGAUAGCUGGCCUGACAGCAAUGAGUAUCAUAUCUCAGAAUGUGAUACGAUUUUUAUUGCCUUGUGAUAUUCUUGGGUUAUUUUUAUUGUUCGUCUUGGACCAACAUAAAAAGUUUGUUUCUAUUCUGGACCCGCUUUCAAUACCUACUUUCGGAAAGCAUAUAUUUGAAACUAUGGCCAAUGAUCUAAACCUUGCACUCCAAGCUGCAAACCCUGCCUUCAAGGACGACAUUUUAAUAUGGGGAUACAAAGUUCCUAAUGUUCCCACAAACUCAUACCGUCCCUUGUCUGGUUAUUUGGUUUUCAAUUUAAUGCACUCAUGGCACGAUGGGACGCUACAUUUUCCGGUACCCAAGGAUGAUUUUGAAUUGAGGAAGCGAUUUUUGGUUCAUAUUUUGAAGUAUGAAGAGAAUGAAGUUCUAAACAAUAUCCCAGUCUUAGAACGAACAAUUAUAGAUCGUAUCAAAAGAUGGACCUUCCAGAGAGGAUCAUCAUCAAAUAAUGAUUACUAG